AUCGCGUCAUCAUUGUCAUGCGGCACUCAGAGGACCCUCUCAAGCCAGAGGGGCGUGUGCUUGUCAAGCACCCGAACGUUCCGGUAGACAGCCUGGCUUAAGA
rnacentral:RNase_MRP_RNA from 1 species